rnacentral:rRNA from 1 species
GACGAACGCUGGCGGCGUGCUUAACACAUGCAAGUCGAACGGAAAGGCCCUGCUUUUGUGGGGUGCUCGGGUGGCGAACGGGUGAGUAACACGUGAGUAACCUGCCCUUGACUUUGGGAUAACUUCAGGAAACUGGGGCUAAUACCGGAUCGGAGCUCCUGCUGCAUGGUGGGGGUUGGAAAGUUUCGGCGGUUGGGGAUGGACUCGCGGCUGAUCAGCUUGUUGGUGGGGUAGUGGCUUACCAAGGCUUUGACGGGUAGCCGGCCUGAGAGGGUGACCGGCCACAUUGGGACUGAGAUACGGCCCAGACUCCUACGGGAGGCAGCAGUGGGGAAUAUUGCACAAUGGGCGGAAGCCUGAUGCAGCAACGCCGCGUGCGGGAUGACGGCCUUCGGGUUGUAAACCGCUUUCGCCUGUGACGAAGCGUGAGUGACGGUAAUGGGUAAAGAAGCACCGGCUAACUACGUG